rnacentral:rRNA from 1 species
GAUGAACGCUGGCGGCGUGCCUAAUACAUGCAAGUCGAACGCAUUGAGAGAAGUGCUUGCACUUUUCAAUUUGAGUGGCGAACGGGUGAGUAACACGUGGGCAACCUACCUGAUAGCGGGGGAUAACGAGUGGAAACAUUCGCUAAUACCGCAUAACAAUAGAGAAGGCAUCUUCUUUAUUUAAAAGGCGCUUUCAAGCGUCACUAUAAGAUGGACCCGCGGUGCAUUAGUUAGUUGGUGGGGUGAAGGCCUACCAAGACGAUGAUGCAUAGCCGAGUUGAGAGAAUGAUCGGCCACAUUGGGACUGAGACACGGCCCAAACUCCUACGGGAGGCUGCAGUAGGGAAUCUUCCACAAUGGACGAAAGUCUGAUGGAGCAACGCCGCGUGUGUGAUGAAGGCUUUCGGGUCGUAAAGCACUGUUGUAUGGGAAGAAAUGCUAGGCUAGGAAAUGAGCUUAGUUUGACGGUACCAUACCAGAAAGGGACGGCUAAAUACGUGCCAGCCGCCGCGGUAA